rnacentral:rRNA from 1 species
UACGUAGGGUGCGAGCGUUAAUCGGAAUUACUGGGCGUAAAGUGUGCGCAGGCGGCCUCGCAAGCCAAGUGUGAAAGCCCCGGGCUUAACCUGGGAACUGCGCUUGAAACUACGGGGCUCGAGUGUGGCAGAGGAAGGUGGAAUUCCACGUGUAGCGGUGAAAUGCGUAGGGAUGUGGAGGAACACCGAUGGCGAAGGCAGCCUUCUGGGCCAACACUGACGCUCAUGCACGAAAGCGUGGGGAG